rnacentral:lncRNA from 1 species
AGUGCCAAAAUACAACUAGUAAACAAGAAAACCAUUAUUUUAAAAUACUUGUCCGUCAACAAAGCAACACAUGAAAACAUCCUACCACCUGGCGGUCUUUUCAACUGAAAACUUAUAGUACAAUUUAUAAAACGCGCGCGCAACGCCCCUAAAGAAACGAGCCUAUUCUCCACUUUGGAACGACAACUACGUUUCUUAUCGUUAAGCCCGUAAUCCAAGAUAUUUUAGGCAGAAAAUUGUUUCUUUUUUGUUGUUUUUUCUGCAACUAGUAUUCCUGGACUAUUGUGGCUUAUAUUCAAAGUGGCUUCGCGGUUUUCUUUUUCAUUUUUCUCUUUUUCGCAAUAUUUCUUUUCAGUUCACUUUGAAUUGGUACUGUAAGUAUUUUUCAGCGGGGAAACAGAUUCCAUUUUCCUGCUUCGCGAAUACUUUACAGGAAGUUACUGGCGCAAAAGUAUGAAGAUAAUGAAUUAUAGUAACACAUGCCUUACAGUAAAAAACAGCAAAAGCGCCUGAUUUCUAGCUGCCUAACCUUCCUAACUAGUGCGCGCGCGCAUAUAACCUUUCAAAACCUGCAAGGGAAACCCCCGAAUGUGGAAUUCUCGGUCAUGCCCCUACCUUAACUUAACCUAGUGUGCCGAUCGCACCUGAUGAGCUUCCACAAACAGGGGUAAGGUUGGCAUGCCUUAUGUUAAUGUCUUCCAUCGUCGAGCCGCCAUAACAGAGAGGGGACCUAAUCUCUGGUAGCGAACUGUUUUCAUUUAACUCGGGGCAGAAAACUAACGUUCGAAACCAGCGAUAUACAUGCACUACGGGCGAUGAAACCACGCCUAGACUAUUUAUCAUUUACAAUAAUUGUGUCAUUACAGUCCUAAGCUGAUCUUUUUGUAGGUGUUAACCGGAGUACCCGGUGAGAACCCACAUCUUUCAAAAAAUAUCUUGUCCACAACGAUAUCCACCAAUCUUCUUACGGG